UUAGAAAGCUUGCAAGGUGGAGGCCCAGCAUAUAAUGCAGAGGUCUUAAGGCGUGUACUGUCUGGAGAAAGAGGGGCAAUAGCUGAUGCAUUAGUCAGUUUUCUCCUCUAACACUCCCAAUCUCAACUGGCUGCUCUCUCUUUGUCUGUGUGUGUGUGUGUGUGCCUCAACUGGCUGCUCUCUCUUUGUCUGGUCAGUUUUCUCCUCUAACACUCCCAAUCUCAACUGGCUGCUCUCUCUUUGUCUGUGUGUGUGUGUGUGUGCACGCGCACGCGUGAUCCUUUUGUAAGAAGAACAAAUGGACUUAUUAAAUUUAAUCUGAUAAUGAUUGGACAGAUCCUAAAUGCUGCAGCAGCGCUGUUGGUCAGUUGCAAAGUGAACACCUUGGCUGAGGGUGUAGCCCUGGCACGUGAAAUUCAAUUAUCAGGGAAAGCUCUUAAUACACUGGAUUUAUGGAUAGAAGUCUCAAAGGUAAAUAUAACCUGUUCCUGAGUUGGCUGCUUCUUUUAGGUAUUGAAAACAUAAUGAAUCCAUUUUGUUCUUUCCAC
rnacentral:lncRNA from 1 species